rnacentral:ncRNA from 2 species
UACGUAGGGAGCGAGCGUUGUCCGGAUUUAUUGGGCGUAAAGAGCGCGUAGGCGGCUUGGUAAGCCGGAUGUGAAACCCCCGAGCUCAACUCGGGGCGGCCAUUCGGAACUGCCAUGGCUAGAGUCUGGUAGGGGAACACGGAAUACCUGGUGUAGCGGUGAAAUGCUUAGAUAUCAGGUGGAACACCAGUGGCGAAGGCGGUGUUCUGGGCCAGUACUGACGCUGAGGCGCGAAAGCGUGGGGAGCGAACAGG